AGUUUGAUCCGGCCUGGGAUUUCGAACGCUGGCGGGAUGCUUUACACAUGCAAGUCGAACGGCAGCACGGACUUCGGUCUGGUGGCGAGUAAGGAAACGGGAAAGUAAAUGUAUCGAAACGUGCCUAGUAGCGGGGGAUAACUACGCGAAAGCGUAGCUAAUACCGCAUACGCCCUCGGGGGAAAGCGGGGGACCUUCGGGCCUCGCACUAUUAGAGCGGCUGAUAUCGGAUUAGCUAGUUGGUGGGGUAACGGCUCACCAAGGCGACGUGAUCCGUAGCUGGUUUGAGAGGACGACCAGCCACACUGGGACUGAGACACGGCCCAGACUCCUACGGGAGGCAGCAGUGGGGAAUUUGGACAAUGGGGGAAACCCUGAUCCAGCCAUCCCGCGUGUGCGAUGAAGGCCUUCGGGUUGUAAAGCACUUUUGGCAGGAAAGAAACGGCACGGGAUAAUACCCCGUGCAACUGACGGUACCUGCAGAAUAAGCACCGGCUAACUACGCCAGCAGCCGCGGUAAUACGUAGGGUGCAAGCGUUAAUCGGAAUUACUGGGCGUAAGCGUGCGCAGGCGGUUCGGAAAGAAAGAUGUGAAAUCCGCAGGAGCUAACUUUGAACUGCAUUUUUACAACUACCGAGCUAGAGUGUGUCAGAGGGAGGUGGAAUUCCGCGUGUAGCAGUGAAAUGCGUAGAUAUGCGGAGGAACACCGAUGGCGAAGGCAGCCUCCGGGAUAACACUGACGCUCAUGCACGAAAGCGUGGGAGCAAACAGGAUUAGAUACUCCGGUAGUCCACGCUCAAACGAUGUCAACUAGCUGUUGGGGCCUUCGGGCCUGGUAGCGCAGCUAACGCGUGAAGUUGACCGCCUGGGAGUACAGCCGUAAGAUUAAAACUCAAAGGAAUUGACGGGGACCCGCACAAGCGGUGGAUGAUGUGUAGAUUAAUUCGAUGCAACGCGAAAAACCUUACCUACCCUUGACAUGUCUGGAAUCCCGAAGAGAUUUGGGAGUGCUCGCAAGAGAACCGGAACACAGGUGCUGCAUGGCUGUCGUCAGCUCGUGUCGUGAGAUGUUGGGUUAAGUCCCGUAACGAGCGCAACCCUUGUCAUUAGUUGCUACGAAAGGGCACUCUAUAUCGAGACUGCCGGUGACAAACCGGAGGAAGGUGGGGAUGACGUGUCAAGUCCUCAUGGCCCUUAUGGGUAGGGCUUCACACGUCAUACAAUGGUCGGGACAGAGUGGUCGCCAACCCGCGAGGGGGAGCCAAUCCCAGAAACCCGAUCGUAGUCCGGAUCGCAGUCUGCAACUCGACUGCGUGAAGUCGGAAUCGCUAGUAAUCGCGGAUCAGCAUGUCGCGGUGAAUACGUUCCCGGGGUCUUGUACACACCGCCUGUCACACCAUGGGAGUGGGGUUUUACCAGAAGUAGUUAGCCUAACCGUAAGGAGGGCGAUUACCACGGUAGGAUUCAUGACUGGGGUGAAGUCGUAACAAGGUAG
rnacentral:rRNA from 1 species